rnacentral:rRNA from 1 species
AGAGUUUGAUCAUGGCUCAGGAUCAACGCUGGCGGCGUGCCUAAUGCAUGCAAGUCGCACGUUCACCCUUCGGGGUGGGAGUGGCGAACGGCUGAGGAACACGUGCGUACCGACCCUGCGGUGGGGAAUACCGGCUGGAAACAGCCAGCAAUACCGCAUACGUUCGGCAACGAAGAAAGCCUUCGGGUGCCGCAGGACGGGCGCGCGGCCCAUCAGGUUGUUGGCGGGGUAAUGGCCCACCAAGCCCAUGACGGGUCACUGGUCUGCGAGGACGGCCAGUCAGACUGGGACUGCGACACGGCCCAGACACCUACGGGUGGCAGCAGCAAGGAAUCUUCCCCAAUGGAGGCAACUCUGAGGGAGCAACGCCGCGUGGAGGAUGACGGCCUUCGGGUUGUAAACUCCUUUUCGGUGGGAUGAUACGGACAGUACCAUCGGAAUAAGCCCCGGCUAACUCUGUGCCAGCAGCCGCGGUAAGACAGAGGGGGCAAGCGUUGUCCGGAAUUACUGGGCGUAAAGCGCGCGCAGGCGGCGGUGCUGGCCCGGCGUGAAAGCCCCCGGCUCAACCGGGGAGGGUCGUCGGGGACCGCACCGCUUGAGGGCGGUAGGGGCUGGUGGAAUGCCUGGUGUAGUGGUGAAAUGCGUAGAGAUCAGGCGGAACACCCGUGGCGAAGGCGGCCAGCUGGGCCGUCCCUGACGCUGAGGCGCGAAGGCGUGGGGAGCGAACGGGAUUAGAUACCCCCGUAGUCC